rnacentral:rRNA from 1 species
UACGUAGGGGGCAAGCGUUGUCCGGAUUUAUUGGGCGUAAAGAGCGUGUAGGCGGCCUGACAGGUCUGCUGUGAAAACUCGAGGCUCAACCUCGAGAUGUCGGCGGAAACCGUCUGGCUAGAGUCCGGAAGAGGAGAGUGGAAUUCCUGGUGUAGCGGUGAAAUGCGCAGAUAUCAGGAAGAACACCUAUGGCGAAGGCAGCUCGCUGGAACGGUACUGACGCUGAGGCGCGAAAGCGUGGGGAGCAAACAGG